GUCGAAGUCAAACACUCAGGCUUUUAUUUUUUUCUAAUUCUAGCUUUGACAAAGAGAAACAUUGCAGUAUCGUGCAUAUUCAUUCACCUAGGCCAACCUAGGGUUUGCUUGGUUGUUCGAGUUCAGUGGUAACUAGCAUUCUUCAACUGUUAUGGACAAAGCAGCUCUAAAAAGACUGAGGGUUGAGGCGGAACGUCUUCACAAGUGGACAUUGACACAGCUGGAGAAUCAAGACACCUCAGUUGCGCCGAGAAAGUAUAUCGAGGAGAGUGACUUUGAAGACAAUGCCGAUGAUGGUCAAUUUCCAAUGCGAGAUGCAGAUGUGGACCGUCAUGUACAUAGAAUUAUUGCACUGAGUAGCGUGUAUCCACUUGGCAAAAGUCGUGAAGGAGUGCUGAACGUUGAUGGCAUUGCUGAUCAGAGCUAUGCUAAAGAUCUGGGCAGUGCCCAGGAUGCCCCUGUGGCAGAGCAACUCCCUAAGCCGUAUCCACAGCUAGGGUCAGCUAUGGUUCCCGGUGCUUUUCUGCAGCAAGAUCAACAACAGCAGCAGCAGCAGCGAUAUGAACACGUACUGCAUGUGGAUGGCGAUGGUAAUGCCACGUACGGCGAGCUGGACACAAGCUUGUUCUCACCAAUUCCUUCCCGCUCAGCCCAGGGUAUCACAUCAUUGACUAUGACAUCAGGUCAAACGAGUGCAGCGCCCGACACAUUGACGACUGGGAAGACAAGUCAGCGACCAAAGACUUCGUCUCGAUCAUCGAGCGCUAUCGCCGCACCAUCGAUGGUUGGGCCUGGGCCUGCUACCAAGGGGUUCCCGGUGACCUCCACGCCGGCCGUUACUAAACAAUCUCGCAAACGCAAGCAUGCCAGCACCGUUAAUUGACAUAUAUGUGUGUGCCGAGUCGGUGUACUAUUGUUGCAGGUUGUGCUGACAGUGGCAGCUCCCCUUUGGGGACAGGUAACACUUCAGUUGGGAUACAGCGCUCUAGCCACCCUCGUUACUUACAACUGUGCAGUGUGCUGUGCGCUGUUGCACUUGACUCAUUCGCUCAACUCGAUGCAGAGCAGCGUAAUGUGGACAGUAGGUUAAGAUAGCUGCCCGUAGUCACUCCCUGGGGUCACUCCAAUGAUGUCAUGACUCGAUUCAGAGCAGCGUGCUGGGGUCACUCCAAUGAUGUCAUGACUGGUGCAGACUGCAGAGCAGCGUAAUGUGGACAGUAGGUUAAGAUAGCUACCAGCAGUGCCUGUAGCUGUGGUCACUCUAAUGAUGUCAUGACUCGAUUCAGAGCAGCGUGAUGUGCAUGGUAACUUCAGAUAGCUACCCGUAGUCCCUGGGGUCACUCCAAUGAUGUCAUGGCUUGAUGCAUGAGCAGCGCAAUGUGGACAGCUACCAGCAGUCCCUGUGGUCACGCCAAGGAUGUCGUGACUCGUUGAUGCCAAGCAGUGUGACGUGCACGGUAACUAGUAGUCUCUGGGGUCAUUUCAACGAUGCCAUGUGCUAUCUCAAGUAGCAUGUGGUAUACAAGUCAGGAACCAACCUGUAGUUAACCUUCUGUCAGUGACCUGCCAGCUAUUGCAUCUUCCAGUAAGCAGUUGGUCGGAUGCCAAGCUUGUACUGCUACUGUCAAGGCAGCGUCACUGGUGCGACGUCAGUGCUGCUACUGCUCCCGACCUGUACUUGACUCUUGAGGCACCUGUGACAGCUGGGUUAGUAGGCUAUGCGGCCGUGGUUCAGUAUGCGUGUACUUGGAUGCGAUCGCGCUGCUCCUGCGGAAUAGCGCGGGUGAGUACCGUAAGUGCGGGAGUUUCUUUACCUCGGCAAGUAAGCAGAUAGCAGGAGAGCACCCUCCAACCCCAAUGCCCACGUCCGGUAUAAAGAAGGGGUGUAUAGGCAAGAGAAGAGGGAGGGAGGGAAAUGCGAAGAGAAAGAAACAAAGAGGUGCGGAUCGCCAGAUUCAUAGGUUCGCGGUGGUCAAGCAUGCCUCUCUGAAAUAUUCUCAACCUUGCUUUAUUACACAUGCUCAUGGACUUGAUAAAGUAGCAGUCAGGACUCAGGUGACCGGAAUUUCCGCUGUUUCUCCGCUACUACUCAUACCUUACCCAUUCCAAGCACAAUGCUAGCCGAAAGGGAUGAGUGCCUCUGUGCGUGUGCGUGCGUGUGUGUGUGUGUUUGCGUCUGCAGUUGUAGAAUCCUUCUGAAGCUGUCCAUGUUCUCUUUCUCCCUAUCGGUGAACAGCAAUAAUUAUGACGUUUGCAGCAAGUGAUGAUGCUCUUUGAUAGCAGACGUUUGGUGUGCCUAUGCCGCACUCUAUGAUCCGCCUGCUACGAGGGCAUGUACACAGAAUGCUGACGGAGUUGCAGAGACUGGAUGGGCGGAUGAAUGGUGUGAUCAGCAUGUGUGGUUGUUGACAAGGGUCAGCAUCAUUGUCUGGUUUUGGUCGAUUCAGACAUGGUGGUGACAAUGUCAUCAUCGUCCACCUCCAACAGCACAGCAGUGCCAGUUCUCCUUGUCCUCCUCUAGCUUUGAGUUCCAGGCACCAAGUCGGGGCGAGCUGAUGACGCCAUGACCAACCUGCUCGAAAACGGUAUCAUGCACUUGCAGUGUAUUUUAAACUGAAAGGAAAAUGUCUGAAACAGCUUGUCGAGUGGCACUGACGGUAAUGAUGAAGGUGAACUCACGAUGCCGCCACCAGGGCCAGGAAAUGUGAAGUAAGUUGAGCGCGGCACCUGGGCACCGGCCUGGUCGUCUUGGCCACAACCAAGCUGUGCCUCAAAGCUUCCUCGCAACGGCCACAACCAAGCUGUGUGGGUAGCUUCCUCGCAACGGCCAGCUGGUUCAGCAACCCAUUGUUGUCACAAGUUGGCAACGUCGUAUGUAGAUGGCAACAAACUGGUGGAUCACGUUACUUCACCACCACUGAGGACGAAAUAUAUAAUGCACUGAUGGCUGCCAUUCAGGCGAGCGAUGAAUGCUCCUGGUGGCCAAACAGCCUCGUCUGGCUCAGGUCCUCUGAGCUGUCCGAAGAUUACCCACCGGCAGUAUACGAGUGUGAUGUGCAUGCAUGCAUAAUUAUUAUUUUAAAAUCAUGAUCUGCCUUCCUGCUAUCUGCAAACAUCUUUAAUUCGUUUGGCUAUGGGGAUUGGGGGAUCCUUCCCGCCGACGUACAUAUUUCAAUGCAGUUGUUUUGUGUGCGUACAGUCAGUCUACUCACAGUCUACUCACAGUCUACUCACACACUUCACACAUCCGGACGGCAUUACUAGUGUAUGGAUUAAUUAA